rnacentral:rRNA from 1 species
UACGUAGGUGGCAAGCGUUAUCCGGAUUUAUUGGGCGUAAAGGGAAAGCAGGCGGUCUUUUAAGUCUGAUGUGAAAGCCUUCGGCUUAACCGGAGUAGUGCAUUGGAAACUGGGAGACUUGAGUGCAGAAGAGGAGAGUGGAACUCCAUGUGUAGCGGUGAAAUGCGUAGAUAUAUGGAAGAACACCAGUGGCGAAAGCGGCUCUCUGGUCUGUAACUGACGCUGAGGUUCGAAAGCGUGGGUAGCAAACAGG